AUGUUAAGCUUUGUCAGUAGGGGGCGCCUCUCUCAAAAGUUCCCUGCCAGUCUGCUCUCCUGGAAGGAUGACCGUGUGGCCCAAUGCCACAGUCCCCAGGCAUUGGUAGAGGUCCCUGACGGGUGGCUCUGCACAACUCUGAAGGUCAGCAGGGGCUGCCGAGGCUUGUAGGGCAGAGAUGCAGGAAAAGCAGCAGACACAAUAUGGUGGGGUUUGAAGAAACCUGGAGGGACUGGGUUGAGGGACUUUUCUUUGUGAUGUCAUCUUAGGUAUGAUGGAGACAGGUGUAGAGGUCUUAAAAAGGAGCUCAGUUCCUUCAUCUUCUUCCUCUCCCCUUCCAUCUUUGUGACAAUCCUCGUCACCUCGGACUAGACGACCAGUGUUUCCAUUCUAUACUCUAUCAAAUCCCAGAUACUUCAGGACAGGCCUGACUCAGAAAUUUUCUGUCCUGACAUCUCCACACUCACCUAUGCACUUUAUGGAGCAUUUGUCCUAGCCCUUGGCGAGGAAAAUAUGCCCACUGGUCAAAUCCUUCUCCCUUUAACUUUAUCCUGCUUUGCCACAGCUGCUUGGUGGGGGCUUGUCAGCGAGUAGGAGGGGAGAAUGCCACCACCUUGGGGUGCCUCCCCGCAGAGCUGUAAGUGUCCUCAGCCUAAUGUUCUGGGUGGGGGACACCUCUGUCACUCUAUUGCCAUAUUCUAUGAAGUCAACCCAGGAAGGCUUAGGUAGCAAAUGCCUGUGCGAAAAGUCAGGGGAACCAGCUGCCUGCUUUCAGGACCCACAUCUGACUGACUGACCCCUCCCCUUAGGGUAGCCGCAGCUUCUGGGUGGCAUUGGUCUCGGGGGUCCCCGAGCUGCCAGACUAUUCUUCUGAG
rnacentral:lncRNA from 13 species